rnacentral:sRNA from 1 species
UUUAUUUUGAUGUAAUGGAGAUCACCCCUGAAAUUAUUGGACGUCAUAGGUUUAACACAGAAAACCACAAGGUGGCAGCAUUCCCUGGGGAUGUGGAGGUUCGAGCUCUGAUUGAAGGACAAUUCAUGGCCAAGAGGAUUCACGCAGAAGGCCUGGGCUAUCGAGUCAUGUCCAAGACAAAGAUUUUGGCCACAGGAGGAGCAUCUCACAAUAGAGACAUCUUACAGGUGCUUGCAGAUGUGUUUGGUGCCCCGGUGUAUGUUAUAGACACUGCCAACUCGGCCUGUGUGGGUUCUGCAUACCGAGCUUUUCAUGGUCUUGCAGGUGGAACAGAUGUGCCCUUUUCAGAGGUUGUGAAGUUAGCUCCAAAUCCCAGACUAGCUGCUACCCCAAGCCCGGGAGCUUCUCAGCGCCGCUGGGUUGGAGUCUCCACAACCAAGCUGGUCUCAGCAAGUGAUGCCCAACACAGGGGCUCGAACCUGGGUCGAAGGGUCGCUGGAGCAAUGGUUAGAAAAUGUGGAACUAUGCUGGAAGACACCCGAGUAC